rnacentral:sRNA from 1 species
GGGAGCUAAGUCCAAUAGUGGCACGUAGUAAUUAUUAAGUUGAUUUUUAAAAAUUUUAUGGUAUUCUCUUUUUUAAGUUAAGAGAAAAUAAGAAAGUAAUCACUAUUUGAAGCAGAUAUUUAAUGCUUGCAACUAUAUCAUCAUUAAAUAUUAAGACACAUCAAAUAAUACUUAUAACCUUAAGCUAUCAGAUGAACUUUGCUUUUUUAUGGCAGACAGGUCUUUGAGGGAAAAAUCAUUUAAAAUUUGAAAAUUGGGUUGUUUGUAGGAAUUGCAGUGCAACAAAGUACGUGAAAAUCAGGUUUCAAUAGAAUGUGACACAACGUGCAAGGAAAUGAAGCGGAGAGCAUCUGAGAUAAAAGAAGCAGAAGCCAAAGCUGCUUUUGAAGAAGAAAAACGAAGACAACAGGUAACUGAACAA